ACAUAGGGUGCAAGCGUUGUCCGGAAUUAUUGGGCGUAAAGAGCUCGUAGGUGGUUCGUCACGUCGGAUGUGAAACUCUGGGGCUUAACCCCAGACCUGCAUUCGAUACGGGCAAACUAGAGUUUGGUAGGGGAGACUGGAAUUCCUGGUGUAGCGGUGGAAUGCGCAGAUAUCAGGAGGAACACCAAUGGCGAAGGCAGGUCUCUGGGCCAAUACUGACACUGAGGAGCGAAAGUCUGGGGAGCGAACAGGAUUAGAUACCCUGGUAGUCCAGACCGUAAACGGUGGGCACUAGUUGUGGGAACCUUCCACGGUUUCUGCGACGCAGCUAACGCAUUAAGUGCCCCGCCUGGGGAGUACGAUCGCAAGAUUA
rnacentral:rRNA from 1 species